rnacentral:rRNA from 1 species
CCGGUNGGCUUAACNCAUGCAAGUCGNGCGAGAAAGUAUCUUCGGAUAUGAGUAGAGCGGCGGACGGGUGAGUAACGCGUAGGAAUCUACCUAGUAGAAGGGGAUAGCCCGGGGAAACCCGGAUUAAUACCGUAUACCUCCUUCGGGAGAAAGAAGGCCUCUCUUUGAAGCUUUCGCUAUUAGAUGAGCCUGCGUAAGAUUAGCUUGUUGGUGAGGUAAAGGCUCACCAAGGCUACGAUCUUUAGCUGGUCUGAGAGGACGAUCAGCCACAUUGGGACUGAGACACGGCCCAGACUCCUACGGGAGGCAGCAGUGGGGAAUAUUGGACAAUGGGCGCAAGCCUGAUCCAGCCAUACCGCGUGUGUGAAGAAGGCCUUCGGGUUGUAAAGCACUUUAAGCAGGGAGAAAAAGUUAUAAGUUAAUACCUUAUAACCGUGAUGUUACCUGCAGAAUAAGCACCGGCUAAUUCCGUGCCAGCAGCCGCGGUAAUACGGAAGGUGCAAGCGUUAA